rnacentral:sRNA from 1 species
GAGUAGAUGCACCCUGAUUAAUGAACCCUAACCAAUUGCGGUCAGGGUUUUUUUAU